rnacentral:rRNA from 1 species
UGAGAGGGUGACCGGCCACACUGGGACUGAGACACGGCCCAGACUCCUACGGGAGGCAGCAGUGGGGAAUAUUGCACAAUGGGCGAAAGCCUGAUGCAGCGACGCCGCGUGAGGGAUGAAGGCCUUCGGGUUGUAAACCUCUUUCAGCAGGGACGAAGCGCAAGUGACGGUACCUGCAGAAGAAGCACCGGCUAACUACGUGCCAGCAGCCGCGGUAAUACGUAGGGUGCGAGCGUUGUCCGGAAUUACUGGGCGUAAAGAGUUCGUAGGCGGUUUGUCGCGUCGUUUGUGAAAACCCGGGGCUCAACUUCGGGCUUGC